rnacentral:rRNA from 1 species
CAGCCGCCGCGGUAAUACGAAGGGUGCAAGCGUUAAUCGGAAUUACUGGGCGUAAAGCGUGCGUAGGCGGUGAGUUAAGUCUGCUGUGAAAUCCCCGGGCUCAACCUGGGAAUGGCAGUGGAUACUGGCUCGCUAGAGUGUGUCAGAGGAUGGUGGAAUUCCCGGUGUAGCGGUGAAAUGCGUAGAGAUCGGGAGGAACAUCAGUGGCGAAGGCGGCCAUCUGGGACAACACUGACGCUGAGGCACGAAAGCGUGGGGAGCAAACAGGAUUAGAACCCCGGUAGUCCCUGUCUCUUAUACA